GCCCGGAUGGUCUAGUGGUAUGAUUCGCGCUUAGGGUCAACCCUGAAGCAUACUAAUUGCGCGAGGUCCCCGGUUCGAUCCCGGGUUCGGGCC
rnacentral:tRNA from 1 species